rnacentral:rRNA from 1 species
AUGCCGCAGCGUGGCCCUGGCGGCGGCGGUGGACUCCAUCAAGGCCUCUGGAUUCGGGCUACGGGUCGCGGCCUCGCUGCGGAGGCUCGGCUGGCCCGACGACGCCGUCGUGUUCACACUUCCACAUUGCCGGUGCUCGAGCUGCGCGGAGCAAUUCCUGCCGGGUAUUGGAUGCGUCUUCACCCCGUCCGGCUGACCGUCCUGGCAGUUUUGGGGAACAUGGUGCCUGUGCCAUUCAUCAUCCUCUACCUGAAGAAACUCGCAACCUUCCUCUCGCAGAGAAGUGCUUGGGCGACCCGGAUAAUGGACCUCCUCUUCGAGCGGGCGCGACGGAAGGCUGCGCCAGUCGAGGAGUUCCAGUGGCUCGGGCUGAUGCUGUUUGCCGCUGUCCCGUUCCCAGGCACCGGAGCAUGGACCGGCACCAUCAUCGCGUCCGUCCUUGGCAUGCCGUUCUGGUCAGGUUUGUCCGCGAAUUUCAUGGGAGUGCUUCUUGCGGGGUUGCUGGUAAACUUGCUCAUGAACCUUGGUCUGAAGUACGCCAUUGGCACCGGGGUACUCCUCUUCAUUGUGUUAACUGCCAUGUGGGGUGCCCUUCGUGGUCUCAAGAAAUCGCUGAAUACGAAAUGA